rnacentral:tRNA from 1 species
UCCUGGGUGGCUCAGUUGGUUGAGCGCCAGACUUCAGCUCAGGUCAUGAUCUCACAGUUCGUGGGUUUGAGACCCACCUCAGGUU